AGACCCGAAACCCGGUGAUCUAGCCAUGGGCAGGUUGAAGGUUGGGUAACACUAACUGGAGGACCGAACCGACUAAUGUUGAAAAAUUAGCGGAUGACCUGUGGCUGGGGGUGAAAGGCCAAUCAAACCGGGAGAUAGCUGGUUCUCCCCGAAAGCUAUUUAGGUAGCGCCUCGUGAAUUCAUCUCCGGGGGUAGAGCACUGUUUCGGCUAGGGGGCCAUCCCGGCUUACCAACCCGAUGCAAACUGCGAAUACCGGAGAAUGUUAUCACGGGAGACACACGGCGGGUGCUAACGUCCGUCGUGAAGAGGGAAACAACCCAGACCGCCAGCUAAGGUCCCAAAGUCAUGGUUAAGUGGGAAACGAUGUGGGAAGGCCCAGACAGCCAGGAUGUUGGCUUAGAAGCAGCCAUCAUUUAAAGAAAGCGUAAUAGCUCACUGGUCGAGUCGGCCUGCGCGGAAGAUGUAACGGGGCUAAACCAUGCACCGAAGCUGCGGCAGCGACACUGUGUGUUGUUGGGUAGGGGAGCGUUCUGUAAGCCUGUGAAGGUGUGUCGUGAGGCAUGCUGGAGGUAUCAGAAGUGCGAAUGCUGACAUAAGUAACGAUAAAGCGGGUGAAAAGCCCGCUCGCCGGAAGACCAAGGGUUCCUGUCCAACGUUAAUCGGGGCAGGGUGAGUCGACCCCUAAGGCGAGGCCGAAAGGCGUAGUCGAUGGGAAACGGGUUAAUAUUCCCGUACUUGGUGUUACUGCGAAGGGGGGACGGAGAAGGCUAUGUUGGCCGGGCGACGGUUGUCCCGGUUUAAGCGUGUAGGUGUGUGUUCCAGGUAAAUCCGGUUCACUUUAACACUGAGGCGUGACGACGAGGCACUACGGUGCUGAAGCAACAAAUGCCCUGCUUCCAGGAAAAGCCUCUAAGCAUCAGGUAACAUCAAAUCGUACCCCAAACCGACACAGGUGGUCAGGUAGAGAAUACCAAGGCGCUUGAGAGAACUCGGGUGAAGGAACUAGGCAAAAUGGUGCCGUAACUUCGGGAGAAGGCACGCUGACACGUAGGUGAAGUGAUUUACUCAUGGAGCUGAAGUCAGUCGAAGAUACCAGCUGGCUGCAACUGUUUAUUAAAAACACAGCACUGUGCAAACACGAAAGUGGACGUAUACGGUGUGACGCCUGCCCGGUGCCGGAAGGUUAAUUGAUGGGGUCAGCGCAAGCGAAGCUCCUGAUCGAAGCCCCGGUAAACGGCGGCCGUAACUAUAACGGUCCUAAGGUAGCGAAAUUCCUUGUCGGGUAAGUUCCGACCUGCACGAAUGGCGUAAUGAUGGCCAGGCUGUCUCCACCCGAGACUCAGUGAAAUUGAACUCGCUGUGAAGAUGCAGUGUACCCGCGGCAAGACGGAAAGACCCCGUGAACCUUUACUAUAGCUUGACACUGAACAUUGAGCCUUGAUGUGUAGGAUAGGUGGGAGGCUUUGAAGUGUGGACGCCAGUCUGCAUGGAGCCGACCUUGAAAUACCACCCUUUAAUGUUUGAUGUUCUAACGUGGACCCGUUACCCGGGUUGCGGACAGUGUCUGGUGGGUAGUUUGACUGGGGCGGUCUCCUCCUAAAGAGUAACGGAGGAGCACGAAGGUUGGCUAAUCCUGGUCGGACAUCAGGAG
rnacentral:rRNA from 3 species